AGAAUUUGAUCCUGGUUCAGAGCGAACGCUGGCGGCGUGCUUAAUACAUGCAAGUCGAGGGAGAAACAGGGGGCAACUCCUGGAGUAAACCGGCGAACGGGUGAGUAAUACAUAGGUAACCUGUCUCGAAGAUCGGGAUAACCCAGGGAAACUUGGGCUAAUACCGAAUAUGAUCACGGCUGCUCCGGCAGUAGUGAUGGAAGGUAGGCCGCAAGGUCUGCCGCUUCGUGAGGGGCCUAUGGCCUAUCAGGUAGAUGGCGGGGUAACGGCCCACCAUGCCUAUGACGGGUAGCCGGCCUGAGAGGGUGAACGGCCACAGGGGCACUGAGACACUGGCCCCACUUCUACGGAAGGCAGCAGUAGGGAAUUUUGGGCAAUGACCGAAAGGUUGACCCAGCGACGCCGCGUGGAGGACGAAGGCCUUCGGGUUGUAAACUCCUGUCAGGGGGGAGGAACGAGCCUGCUGAUCACAUCAGUGGGUUGUGACUUAACCCCCAGAGGAAGCACCGGCUAACUCCGUGCCAGCAGCUGCGGUAAUACGGAGAGUGCAAGCGUUGCUCGGAAUUACUGGGCGUAAAGGGCACGUAGGCGGCCAGGCAAUUCGGGUGUGCAAUCCGGCGGUUUAUCCGCCGAACUGCAUCCGAAACUACAUGGCUAGAGCGCAGGAGGGGUGAGAGGAACUCUAGGUGGAGCGGUGAAAUGCGUAGAUAUCUAGAGGAACGACGGAGGCGAAGGCGUCUCACUGGUCUGCUGCUGACGCUGAGGUGCGAAAGCUAGGGGAGCAAACGGGAUUAGAUACCCCGGUAGUCCUAGCUGUAAACGAUGAUCACUAGGUAGGGGAGAUACUCAUAUCUUCUCUGCCGUAGCUAACGCAUUAAGUGAUCCGCCUGGGGAGUACGGUCGCAAGGCUAAAACUCAAAGGAAUUGACGGGGGCUCGCACAAGCGGUGGAGUAUGUGGAUUAAUUCGAAGCAACGCGCAGAACCUUACCUGGGUUUGACAUGGUUGGAUGGCUUACUGGAAACAGU
rnacentral:rRNA from 1 species